GCAUGACUUAGGACGUAUUUGGUCUUUUCUUUAUUUGUAUUGAGUCAUUUGUGUUAAAUAAAUGUAAUGUAAUUGUCAGGUGAGCCGGGACAGCCUUCUUCCUCCGCCCAGCCGCCACAGUGAUUGUCGUCAAGUCUGCCACAGGAGGAUAUUUUUUUGAGGUUAACCUGCUUUCUCCCUCGCAGGUCGAUUACUACUGUUUGUAUAAACUUGUUAAAUCUUAGAAUUUCCGCAUGUGUUAGAAAUGUUUAUUUGAUUUGGGUCUGUAAACUAAAUUAUUAUUUUUGGACCUGUAAACUUAAAUGUGCUAUGCAUGUUUGAUGGAUUGGAUGAGGGAGCUGAGCUCCCAUUUAUUUUAUGUUGAUGAGUAUGUGGAGGGUGAGCUGAGCUCCCCAAUUGACUA